rnacentral:sRNA from 1 species
UAGCAAACAAAGCGAGAAACUACCUAUA